GUCCGCGGCCGCACCACCCUGAACGCGCGCAGUCUCCUCUGAUCUCGGAAGCUGAGCUGGGUCGGCCCGGUCAGUGCAUGGACGGAGGGAAGGCCUGUCUGCGAACA
rnacentral:rRNA from 1 species